GACAGCGCGCGUGGCGAUUUGUUGCCGGAUUGCGGGCCACACGAAACAUUCCGCUAAAAGGCCAGUCGUCGGGGACC
rnacentral:ncRNA from 2 species